rnacentral:rRNA from 1 species
AUGCACUACCAUUCAAGCAGCUCUGAACAAUAGAAUUGACAAACUGCAAGAAAAAAUCUUCAUGAAAAAACAUCAUCUCCUCGCAAAACUCCCUCUCCCCAACCAUGUCACCCAGCCUGCCCCUCCCGCCAUUCCCCCCAGACCACCCCCCAGCUCAAUUCCACUUCUCGGCCCUCUCCUAGAUGACAUCACCACCACAGUCCAACACCUCAAGCCAUCUAACUGCAGACGCAAUGCCUGUCCUGGCCACGACUUCAAAAUCUACUCAGACACACCGGCUCCAGCCUUAGCUAAUUUUGCUAAUGCAUCCUUCAUAUCCAAUAUUUUCCUACUUGCUUCAAAACAGCAUCGGUCAAAACAGUCCAGCAGAGGAUUCAAUACGACGGGGGGGUUGGUCGCCCAGAACACAUAGCCCCUCUUGACAACACCAACUGUGUGCACACGGCCCCCGCAGGGUGAAUUUCCUCCGUGGCGGUGCACUGCAAAUGGCUCCAGGUUGGCUGGGAGGUACCCAAGGGCCAGGUGAUGCUCUGCUCUAGCGGAGAGUGUAAUAGCCCCCUGGCAAAAGUUUUGCCAUGUCUGUGGGGCCCAGAAAGAUAGACCACUGCCAAGCCCUCCUCCAGCAACUGUCCCAGUCCCUCUCAGUGGUCGACAGGGCAGUGACAUGGGAUGGGGCCCCCUACUCCCAGUAAGAUUGUCGAUUGGGAUGGACUGUCCUCAGUGCACCCCCAACUGCAUUGCACUGCAGGGGUGGGGAGUCUCAAAAUGGCACCAGGGGUCUGCGGUGAUGUCAGUCACCCACCCAACCCAUCUUGAAACAUGGACCAAGGAAUGUAACAUGUGCAUGAGUUGGAGGUCUGAAUGAAACCCUGUGGCAUAAAGAUGGUGAGGGAGUUAGUGCAUGACUGUGUGUGAUAGGACCUGAAAGACUUUGCCUGGGAAGUGCAGAGUCAGAGGCAACUCUGGUGGAGGUCCAUUGCAGUCCUGAUAUGCAAAUCGAAUGUUCGACCUGGGUAUAGCAGCGAAAGGCUAAUCAAACCAUCUAGUAGCUGGUUCCCUCUGAGGUAUCACUCAGGAUAGCGGGCACUCAGAAACCCCUAUUUUAUCUGGUAAUGCAAGAGACAGAGUUCUUAGGGCCAAAAUAAUUUCUACCUAUUCUCACAUUUUAAAUGGGUGAGAAGCCAUGUUCACUGGCAUUAAGCCAUGCCCCAAAUUCGUGUGCCUAAUGGACCUAUUUUGGUAAGCAGAACUGGUGCUGUGGGAUGAACCUAACACUGGGUUAAGUCGCCCUAUGCCGACACUCAUCAGACCCAAAAAAGGUAUGGGUUGAUAUAGACAGCAGGACCAUGGCCAUGGAAGACGGAAUCUGCUAAGGAGUGUGUAACAACUUACCUGUGCAAUCAAUUAGACCUGAAGAUGGAUGCCGCUGAAGCGUCAGGCCAUUAUCCAGCCAUUUCUGGCGCUGAGAGCAAAUAUUCAAACAAGAUUUUUGAAGGCCAAAGUGGGGACGGGUUCCAUGUGAACAGUAGUUGACCAUGGGUCAGACAGUUCUAAGAGAUGGGAGAGUGUUUUUUGGAAAGGAUGGACAAUGGCUCUGUUGCCCUGAGCUGACCGAAAGGGCGUAGGGUACAGAUCCCCACACCCAAAGUGGUGUAGGUGGGCACCUGUGCGGCCUCCAAUUCGAUGACACAAACGAUGCUGGAGAAGCUGGCAGGAGUCCCAGGGAGAGUACUCUUUUCUUUGUGAAGGGCAGGGCACCCUGGAAUGGGUUUGCCGCAAGAGAGGGGCAUGACCCUUGUAAAGCAUUGCGGUUCCAACUGCAUCUGGUGAGCUCUCACUGUUCCUAGAAAAUCCAGGGGUGAUGGUGCAAAUCUUGUGCCAGGCCGUACUCAUAUCCACUGCAAGUGUACAAGGUGAUCAGCCUCUGGCAUGUUGGAACAAUGUAGGUAAGGGAAGUUGGCAAGUCAGAUCCGUAACUUCAACAUAAUGGCUGGGUCUUUUGGGCUGUUGCACAAAAUGGGGCUAGGCGUGUGUCACCUUUCUCUCUUUCCCAGGGUUCGGGGCCAGCGUGCUGGCUCGGCCGACAUCUAGCAGCUGACUUAGAACUGGUGUGGGCCAGGAAAAUCUGACUGUUCAAUUCUGAUAAAGCAUCAUGAAGGCCCGCCACAAUGUGAUUUCUGUCCAGAGCGCUGAAUAUCAAAGUGUAGAAAUUCAAUAAAGUGCAGGUAAAUGGCAGGAGUAACUUUAACUCCUGUAAGGUAGCCAAAUGCCUUGUCAUCUAAUACGUGAUGUGCAUGAAUGGAUGAACAAGAUUCGCACUGUCCUUACCUACUACCUAACAGAACCACAGCCAAGGGUACAGGCUCGGCAGAAUCAGCAGGGAAAGGAGACCCUGUUGAUCUUGACUCUAGUCUGGCAAUGCGAAAAAACAUGAGAGGUGUAAGAUAAAUGGCAGGCCCUCAGGCUGUUGGUCAAAUACCACUACUCAUAUUGAUUUUUCACAUACCCGAUGAGUAUGGGGGCAAGCCCCAUGAGGCUCUCAGUUCUAGCUCCAAGCACCCAGCGACUAGGGACAGUGGCAGGUGGGGAGUUUGACUGCAGCGGUAAACCAGUCAAAUUAUAAAGCAGGUGUCCCAAGGUGUGCUCAUGGAUGACAGAAGUAUCCAGCGGAUCAGAAGUUAAAAAGCUCACUUGACCUCGAUUUUCAGUGUGAAUUCAGACCGUGAAAGUGGGCCUUAUGAUUUUUCUGACUUUUUGUGUUUCAAGGAGGAGGAGUCAGAAACGUUACCAUCAUGAAAACUGGCUUGUGGCAACCAAGCUUUCAUAGUGACAUUGCUUUUUGAUCCUUCGAUUUUGGCUCUUCCUAUCAUUGUAAAGCAGAAUUCACCAAUCGUUGGAUUGUUCACCAACUAACAGGGAAUGUGAGCUGGGUUUAGACCGUCGUCAGGCAGGUUAGGUUUACCCUACUGAUGAUGGGUUGCAAUGGUAAUCCUGCUCAGUAAGAGAGGGACAACAUGUUCAUACUUUGGUGUAUGUGCUUGGUUGAGGAGCUAAUGGGGCAAAACUACCAUCUGUAGCAUUGGGACUGACCACCUCUACGUCAGAAUCCCUCCUAAACCGUAAUGAUACCACAGUGCUGUUGAACCUCCAUUGGCCUAGGAUAGCCAGCCUCUGGACUAUUACAUAAGGCCUCUUGCCUCCUCAAGACUCGAGUGUGGACAGAAGGGGCCACCUGUAGUGCACCAAUGUUUGUGGGGGAUCUGGUGCUAAAUUAUUUGUAAGUAGCAGAGAAGUGCCUGGCUGUGAUCUAUUGAAUGUCAU